AUUGAACGCUGGCGGCAUGCCUUACACAUGCAAGUCGAACGGCAGCGGACCUUCGGGUGCCGGCGAGUGGCGAACGGGUGAGUAAUAUAUCGGAACGUACCUUUCAGUGGGGGAUAACGUAGCGAAAGUUACGCUAAUACCGCAUAUUCUGUGAGCAGGAAAGCAGGGGAUCGCAAGACCUUGCGCUGAUUGAGCGCCGAUAUCAGAUUAGCUAGUUGGUGAGGUAAAGGCUCACCAAGGCGACGAUCUGUAGCGGGUCUGAGAGGAUGAUCCGCCACACUGGAACUGAGACACGGUCCAGACUCCUACGGGAGGCAGCAGUGGGGAAUUUUGGGACAAUGGGCGGCAAGCCUGAUCCAGCCAUGCCGCGUGAGUGAAGAAGGCCUGG
rnacentral:rRNA from 1 species